rnacentral:rRNA from 11 species
UUGAAGAGUUUGAUCAUGGCUCAGAUUGAACGUUGGCGGCAGGCCUAAUACAUGCAAGUCGAGCGGUAACAGAUCGCUAGGAUCCCUUCGGGGUGACUUUGAUGCUGACGAGCGGCGGACGGGUGAGUAACGCGUAGGAAUCUACCCAGUAGCGGGGGAUAGCCCGGGGAAACUCGGAUUAAUACCGCAUACGCCCCAAGGGGGAAAGGCGGGGAUCUCUUCGGAGACCUGUCACUAUUGGAGGAGCCUGCGUUGGAUUAGCUAGUUGGUAAGGUAAUGGCUUACCAAGGCGACGAUCCAUAGCUGGUCUGAGAGGAUGAUCAGCCACACUGGAACUGAGACACGGUCCAGACUCCUACGGGAGGCAGCAGUAGGGAAUAUUGCACAAUGGGCGAAAGCCUGAUGCAGCCAUGCCGCGUGUGUGAAGAAGGCCUUCGGGUUGUA